UGGGGAAUUGUUCGCAAUGGGCGCAAGCCUGACGACGCAAUGCCGCGUGGAGGAUGAAGAAUUUCGGUUCGUAAACUCCUUUCGACCGAGAUGAAAGCCCGCCGACCUAAUACGUCGGUGGAGUGACAGUAUCGAGGGAAGAAGCCCCGGCUAACUCCGUGCCAGCAGCCGCGGUAAUACGUAGGGACCAAGCGUUGUUCGGAUUUACUGGGCGUAAAGGGCGCGUAGGCGGCAUGACAAGUCACUUGUGAAAUCUCUGGGCUUAACCCAGAACGGCCAAGUGAUACUGUCGCGCUAGAGUGCAGAAGGGGCAAUCGGAAUUCUUGGUGUAGCGGUGAAAUGCGUAGAUAUCAAGAGGAACACCUGAGGUGAAGACGGGUUGCUGGGCUGACACUGACGCUGAGGCGCGAAAGCCAGGGGAGCAAACGGGAUUAGAUACCCAAGUAGUCCCUGAGCGGGCUGGCAAGGCGCAU
rnacentral:rRNA from 1 species